rnacentral:rRNA from 1 species
UACGGGGGGGGCAAGCGUUGUUCGGAAUUACUGGGCGUAAAGGGCUCGUAGGCGGCCAACUAAGUCAGACGUGAAAUCCCUCGGCUUAACCGGGGAACUGCAUCUGAUACUGGAUGGCUUGAGUUCGGGAGAGGGAUGCGGAAUUCCAGGUGUAGCGGUGAAAUGCGUAGAUAUCGGAAGGAACACCAGUGGCGAAAGCGGCUUCCUGGUCCAGCACCGACGUUCAGGCACGAAAGCGUGGGGAGCAAACAGG